AUUGAACGCUGGCGGCAUGCCUUACACAUGCAAGUCGAACGGCAGCAUGGAGAGCUUGCUCUCUGAUGGCGAGUGGCGAACGGGUGAGUAAUGCAUCGGAACGUACCGUGUAAUGGGGGAUAACGUAGCGAAAGUUACGCUAAUACCGCAUACGACCUGAGGGUGAAAGCAGGGGAUCGCAAGACCUUGCGUUAUACGAGCGGCCGAUGUCAGAUUAGCUAGUUGGUGAGGUAAAGGCUCACCAAGGCGACGAUCUGUAGCGGGUCUGAGAGGAUGAACCGCCACACUGGGACUGAGACACGGCCCAGACUCCUACGGGAGGCAGCAGUGGGGAAUUUUGGACAAUGGGGGCAACCCUGAUCCAGCCAGGCCGCGUGAGUGAAGAAGGCCUUCGGGUUGUAAAGCUCUUUCGGCCGGGAAGAAAUCGAACAGGCUAAUACUCUGUGUGGAUGACGGUACCGGCAUAAGAAGCACCGGCUAACUACGUGCCAGCAGCCGCCGUAA
rnacentral:rRNA from 1 species